UACGUAGGGGGCAAGCGUUGUCCGGAAUCAUUGGGCGUAAAGCGCGUGUAGGCGGUCCGGUAAGUCCGCUGUGAAAGUCGGGGGCUCAACCCUCGGAUGCCGGUGGAUACUGUCGGGCUUGAGUACGGAAGAGGCAAGUGGAAUUCCCGGUGUAGCGGUGAAAUGCGUAGAUAUCUGGAGGAACACCGGUGGCGAAGGCGGCAUCCUGGACCGGCAUUGACGCUGAGGCGCGAAAGCUAGGGGAGCAAACGGG
rnacentral:rRNA from 1 species